rnacentral:sRNA from 1 species
GUGAUAAAGCAAAAGAUAUCAGAAGAUUUUGCGGAAAAGUCACCUUAGCGAGGACCGUCACUUUCUGAACCACAGUGCUUCCAGGUUGACACAUGAAGUGCCCAGAGGUGCUGUUCUAAUGCUGAGUCCUAGAAGAACCUUUGAGAUUUGCUGUUCAAGGUGGCACGGCUGGCCCUCUUGCCGCAGUUAAAACCACAGUCCAGAUGUCAGAUUUUGCACAGAUGUCUGUGCUGACAUAGUCCCUUUAUGAAAAGAUCUAUUUUGUCAUAUGCACUGCUGUGAUGAAUAUAAGUGGUCUUGAUGAUUUCAGCCCUUGUCACAUUGACUUUUCGCUGUCAUGUAUUCACUUGAUUCGCUGGCAGGUUCCCGUGGGAAUUCUUUUCAUGGCAUCUUUGUGUUUUGGUGACACCCAGGUGGAUCCAUAAAGAACCCGGCCAACCCGCAGAGGGAGGGGAGGGGCUGAGCCGUGAGGAGAGCGGGGCCCAAGAACCAUGUCUACGCGGGAGUCCUUUAACCCGGAAAGUUACGAAUUGGACAAAAGCUUCCGGCUAACCAGAUUCACUGAACUGAAGGGCACAGGCUGCAAAGUGCCCCAAGAUGUCCUGCAAAAAUUGCUGGAAUCUUUACAGGAGAACCACUUCCAAGAAGAUGAGCAGUUUCUGGGAGCCGUUAUGCCAAGGCUUGGCAUUGGAAUGGAUACUUGUGUCAUUCCUUUGAGGCACGGUGGGCUUUCCUUGGUUCAAACCACAGAUUACAUUUACCCGAUAGUAGACGACC